UACAGAGGUCCCAAGCGUUGUUCGGAUUCACUGGGCGUAAAGGGUGCGUAGGUGGUGAGGUAAGUCGGAUGUGAAAGCUCGGAGCUCAACUCCGAAAUGGCAUUGGAAACUACCUUGCUAGAGGAUCGGAGGGGAGACUGGAAUUCUCGGUGUAGCAGUGAAAUGCGUAGAUAGUCGGAGGAACACCAAUGGCGAAGGCAGCUCGCUGGGACGUUACUGACGCUGAGACGCGAAAGCGUGGGGAGCAAACAGG
rnacentral:rRNA from 1 species